UACGUAGGAGGCGAGCGUUGUCCGGAAUUACUGGGCGUAAAGAGCGCGUAGGCGGCGCUGUACGACCCGUGUGAAAGCCCCCGGCUCAACUGGGGAGGGUCACGGGUAACGGCAGUGCUCUGAGUGCAGGAGAGGGAAGUGGAACUCCGGGAGUAGCGGUGAAAUGCGUAGAUAUCCGGAGGAACACCGGUGGCGAAGGCGGCUUCCUGGACCGACACUGACGCUGAGGCGCGAAAGCUAGGGGAGCAAACGGG
rnacentral:rRNA from 1 species